GACGGAGGGGGCUAGCGUUGUUCGGAAUUACUGGGCGUAAAGGGCGCGUAGGCGGCUCUUCAAGUUAGGCGUGAAAGCCCUGGGCUUAACCUAGGAAUAGCGCUUAAUACUGGAGAGCUAGAGAUUGGUAGAGGGAAAUGGAAUUCCUAGUGUAGAGGUGAAAUGCGCAGAUAUCGGGAGGAACACCGGUGGCGAAGGCGGUUCUCUGGGCCUUACCUGACGCUGAGGAGCGAAAGCGUGGGGAGCGAACAGG
rnacentral:rRNA from 1 species